UACGGGGGGGGCAAGCGUUGUUCGGAAUUACUGGGCGUAAAGGGCGUGUAGGCGGCCAACUAAGUCCGACGUGAAAUCCCCAGGCUUAACCUGGGAACUGCGUCGGAUACUGGAUGGCUUGAAUCCGGGAGAGGGAUGCAGAAUUCCAGGUGUAGCGGUGAAAUGCGUAGAUAUCAGGAGGAACACCUGCGGUGUAGACGGCUUACUGGACCAUAACUGACGCUGAGGCACGAAAGCGUGGGUAGCAAACAGG
rnacentral:rRNA from 1 species